rnacentral:tRNA from 1 species
GCCUCCGUGGCGCAAUCGGCUAGCGCGUUCGGCUGUUAACCGAAAGGUUGGUGGUUCGAGCCCACCCGGUUGCG